AGAUCACGGGGAAGAGGAGGGACCGGCGGGACGCGCGGGUUCCUCUCAGCUCACCUCCGGCGCAGGAGGCUUUUCCAGCCUCAGCCCUCCCUGGGACCAGGAGGGGGGUGACGGUUCCCCGGUCCUCUGGGAGACUGCAGACCAUACCACCAUGGGAGUCCAGUCCGCACACCGCACCCCCACACGGAUGAGUUCCGACCGCAGGAAAUGGGACAAGGACCGAGCCACGGGAGGGGACCCUGUGGGUGGCCUCCCAUCUACAAAAUGGACCUGGAGACAGCCUGCUCCUCUCCAGCUCUACCAGCUGUCAUCGCCUGUCCCCUGACCCAUGGCAGCAGAGCCUGCCUGAGUCUGGGGGAUGCCCCUGGGCCAUGCUGCUUCUCACUGGAGACCCUGUGUGACCCGGUCUCUGCUGACUCCCUUGACUUCCUGCUCACCAUGACCCAGCUGCUGUACAUCGGCCCAAACUCUUCCUUUCUUGUGAGUCAAUGCUGUUCCCUCUGACUGGAAUGCCCUUCCCUCCCUGCUGUGCCUGAUAAAUAUUCAUUAAAAGUGGCCUCCCCAGAAA